AUUGAACGCUGGAGGCAGGCAUAACAGAUGCAAGUCGAGCGAGCGGCGGACGGGUGAGGAAUGUCUGGGAAACUGCCGGAUGGAGGGGGAUAACAACUGGAAACGGUAGCUAAUACCGCUAACCAUCAGAUGUGCCCAGAUGGGAUUAGCUAGUAGGUGGGGUAAUGUCUAACCUAGGUGACGAUCCCUAGCUGGUCUGAUAGGAUGACCAGCCACCCUGGAAUUGCGACCCGGUCCACACCCCUACGCGAGGCAUCGUUGCUGAAUAUUGCACACUGGGCUCAAGCCGUAUGCGGCCAUGCCGCGUGUGUGAAGAAGCCCUUCUGGUUGUAAAGUACUUUCAGCGAGGAGGCAUUACUCGCAGAAGAAGCACCGGCUAACUUCGUGCCAGCAGCCGCGGUAAUAC
rnacentral:rRNA from 1 species